CCCUUAGAUGUUCUGGGCCGCACGCGCGCUACACUGAUGCAUUCAACGAGUCUAAAACCUGGUCUGAUAGGGCUGGGUAAUCUUUUGAAAGUGCAUCGUGAUUGGGAUAGAUGAUUGCAGUUCUUCAUCUUCAACGAGGAAUGCCUAGUAAACGCAAGUCAUCAGCUUGCAUUGAUUACGUCCCUGCCCUUUGUACACACCGCCCGUCGCUCCUACCGAUUGAAUGAUCCGAUGAAUACCAUGGAUUGAGAGUACGAAUGGGUUCGCUCACUUCUGCUGCUCGAGAAGUGGAGUAAAUCUUAUCAUUUAGAGGAAGGAGAAGUCGUAACA
rnacentral:rRNA from 1 species